GCUACACAUGCAGUCGAGCGGAACGACACUAACAAUCCUUCGGGUGCGUUAAUGGGCGUCGAGCGGCGGACGGGUGAGUAAUGCCUAGGAAAUUGCCUUGAUGUGGGGGAUAACCAUUGNAAACGAUGGCUAAUACCGCAUAAUGCCUACGGGCCAAAGAGGGGGAUCUUCGGACCUCUCGCGUCAAGAUAUGCCUAGGUGGGAUUAGCUAGUUGGUGAGGUAAUGGCUCACCAAGGCGACGAUCCCUAGCUGGUCUGAGAGGAUGAUCAGCCACACUGGAACUGAGACACGGUCCAGACUCCUACGGGAGGCAGCNGUGGGGAAUAUUGCACAAUGNGCGAAAGCCUGAUGCAGCCAUGCCGCGUGUAUGAAGAAGGCCUUCGGGUUGUAAAGUACUUU
rnacentral:rRNA from 1 species